UUUUUCUGAAAUCUACCAACGUUUCCAUUGAAAAAUUACUAACCAAGAACAGUGAGCAAGUUAUCUUUAUGAAAUCAACAUUAUCCAUUGAAGAAUUACCAAUCAAACCAACAUUUUUCUGAAAAGGGGCAUUUCAUAAAUCUCAAUUGGGCUUCAUAGAGUCUUGAGAAUUGGAUUGAAGAUAAUUAGGGCAAAAUAUACAUCCUAUGUUAGAAUCGGGCGGCAGACCCCGCCUUCACCGAAGCCACGAGCACCACUUCUCACGUUGGUUCCGCAACCCUAACCGGCGUCUCUCUUCUUGAUUCUAGCACUGGAUUCGCUGAAAUUUGCCGCAGCCUUGAACAAUAUUCGCAAUUUCGAACCACAAUCGCAACUUUCAAUUUUCUGAUUUUGUUGCCUAUCAAGAUUGAAGGCGACAUCAUCAAAGAACCCUUCUAGUUGAUAGUUGUGAUCAGGAUUCGAAUCUUUAACGAGACAUCGUAGUUGUUUACAGAUCGGAACCAGUCGGGAACGAUGGGUUAGCAGUGUUUGGAUAGCGUUCUAAGGAUGUGUAUUAAGCUGAGCACGUAGGAAUUAUAGAUUUGUAUUAGGAAUUUUGGAUAAAUGUAUAUUUGUUUUGGCUGUGCUGGUUAUAUCGAACUUGUAGAGAAUUGUAUGAUUAUCUUGUGUAUUAGUUAGAUAUUGGUUUUGAGAUUUAGCUGAGUUAGUCACGUUGAGGAGCUUGUGACCCCUUUGCUUGAGUUUUAAAAGUGUGAUUUUAGUUUUUUGGGUUAUAAUCCUCGUAACGACCCUGUUUACCCAGUCAGCGGUAAGUCGGGUUGUUACAGUUGGUAUCAGAGCCAACCCGCGACCGUGGCUAAUCCUUAGGGUUAGUUCAUCUAACGGGUAUACAAUCUUGGGAGUACAGAAAAACGUGAUUUGAGGAUUUAGAUGUUUGAGAUAAUAGAUAGGAACAAAAAUGAAUAUGAUUGUGGUAUUAACCUAGGUGUUUGAGUUAGUCAUGUUUUCUUUGAAAUGUAGAUGUGAGGUGUGAGGAUUACGGGGUAAAACGGGAAAACGCUCUUAACGAUUGAUCGUGACGACAAGAAGAUUCAGUUCGACGAUGCAACGUUUGAAUUUGUUUUCUGAUGAUGCUAAUGUCUUGUUGCUUAUCAUAGUUCUUUGUCGAUUAUCGUUUUAGUAGCUAGAAUAGUAUGUCCUAAGAUUGCAUAUCGUGUCACCUUGUUGCUAGCCUUUUUCUAUCAGUCUUUAUUUGUUGAUCCAUGAUUAUGAUUAUAGUUUAGUGCACGAAAGCAAGGUCAUCGGGUUGUGAAGUAUGUAUCGUUAGUGUUUUGUUGUAAGUAAGUUGAACUUUGGAAACGAUUGUGACAUAGUAGGAGAAUUAGUAAAGACAAAGUACUGCACAUCAUUGAUGGAAAAGCUUAAGUUAAGAGCAAUUGAUAUUGAUUUUCAAUCCUAGUGAUUGAGCUGCAUAUAGUGUUUAUAUUUUGACGUAAGCGAUGAACUUUUAGUGUUAAUGGAUCUUGUCGUACGUUGUAAAUUGUUUGAGUAGUGGAGCCUAUAAAUUUAGUAGAUUUAUUAGAAAAUUGUGUGAUUAUCAUUAAGAAUGUACCAAGUUUCUUUUGUUGGUUAGAAGUGCAAAUAUAAUUUAAGGAUGGAAGAUCACUGGUAAACUUGAGGUUUUGUUAAGUACAAGAAGGUUGUUACAGCAAGAAUAGAAGUAGGUUUUCAACAAAAGUUAUUAUAAAGGAUCUUGAGUCAUAGACUUAAGUUAUCAAAAUAAUAUGGUUUAUAUGUUGUAAAUAUGGCAUUCAAAGUUUAAAAUGUUGGGUAUUAUAGGUUAUUUGAUUGAGACACUAGUUGGUAAAAUUGUGAACACCUCAUAGAUGAUCUUAGUGGGUAUAUGUGAAAAUAGUCAAUAAUUGAGCUGUUAUUGUUGAAGUGUUGUGCGUAGCAGUUAUGAUAAGAAUUUAUGUUUGGGUUAAAGCUUGUAAGGAUUAUGGUCUAGAGAUGUGGAUGAAGAAUGAUAGGUUUUGUUUGGCAAGUGGUGCAUGAUAUCAACCUAGGUGAGGAAGUUUAUCGUCUUGCGUUACCAGCAUCUUUUGACCGAAUGCAUGACGUGUUUCGCGUAUCCCAGCUGAGACAAAACAUCAGAGACGACUCACACGUUCUUCAGCUCGAACAGUUGAUCUUGGAUGACACCUUACAGUAUGAGGAGAUUCUCGUUCAGAUUCUAGAUAGGAAGACGCGUGAUACAUGUCGGGGCAGUGUAACGCUUGUGAAGGUGCUAUGGUCUAAACACGUUACCGAAGAAGCCAUGUGGGAGACAGAAGACGCCAUGAGACGCGAUUAUCCCUGGUUGUUUGCUCAAGUAUUUCUAUGUUUAUCGCUUUAUAGCUAUUGCAUCUCUUUAGUCUUUGUGAGUUAAGUUUAAGGAUGAUCUCCAUUCUAAGUUGGGUAACAUAUCCUUAUGAUAUGAAAGAUAGUUGGGUAUUUGAAUAUGUGUGCUUGAGACUUUAGUUUAACUUCGAGGACGAAGUUUAUUUCAAGUUGGGUAGAAUGUAACAUUCGAAAAAAAAUUAAUAUUUUAAGACGAGUAAGUUUAAUAGAAUUAUCAGUGCGAGAAUGACCUUAAAUACACAUGACAUGAAACAUUCUCAAUUUAAUUUCUUUCCUCUUUCCCUUUCUUUUAGUUUGAUUUUAAAAAAUAUAUAUAUAUAUAUAUAUUAAAAAAAUAUAUAUUAAAAGAAAAUUAGUAAAAAUCACUUUCAUUACAAUUUUUUUUUUCCAUUAUAAUGCUCAAUAAUUUUUUUUCCCAAUUUAAUGUCCACGUGGACUAUUAUUACUUAAACCCACUUCUUCCCCUUUCUUCUUCAUGUUACUGUGAAUGUUAGAAACCCAAAUCAUUUUUCUGAAAUCUACCAACGUUUCCAUUGAAAAAUUACUAACCAAGAACAGUGAGCAAGUUAUCUUUAUGAAAUCAACAUUAUCCAUUGAAGAAUUACCAAUCAAACCAACAAUUUUCUGAAAAGGGGCAUUUCAUAAAUCUCAAUUGGACUUCAUAGAGUCUUGAGAAUUGGAUUGAAGAUAAUUAGGGCAAAAUAUACAUCCUAUGUCAGAAUCGGGCGGCAGACCCCGCCUUCACCGAAGCCACGAGCACCUCUUCUCACGUUGGUUCCGCAACCCUAACCGGCGUCUCUCUUCUUGAUUCUAGCACUGGAUUCGCUGAAAUUUGCCGCAGCCUUGAACAAUAUUCGCAAUUUCGAACCACAAUCGCAACUUUCAAUUUUCUGAUUUUGUUGCCUAUCAAGAUUGUUGUUUACAGAUCGGAACCGGUCGGGAACGAUGGGUUAGCAGUGUUUGGAUAGCGUUCUAAGGAUGUGUAUUAAGCUGAGCACGUAGGAAUUAUAGAUUUGUAUUAGGAAUUUUGGAUAAAUGUAUAUUUGUUUUGGCUGUGCUGGUUAUAUCGAACUUGUAGAGAAUUGUAUGAUUAUCUUGUGUAUUAGUUAGAUAUUGGUUUUGAGAUUUAGCUGAGUUAGUCACGUUGAGGAGCUUGUGACCCCUUUGCUUGA